GAUGAAGAACGCAGCGAAAUGCGAUAAGUAAUGUGAAUUGCAGAAUUCAGUGAAUCAUCGAAUCUUUGAACGCACCUUGCGCCCUUUGGCUAUUCCGAAGGGCAUGCCUGUUUGAGUAUCAUGAACACCUCAACCCUCAUGGUUUGCCAUGUGGGCUUGGACCUUGGGGGUCUUGCUGGAUUGUAGUCAGCUCCCCUUAAAUGAAUCAGCUUGCCAGUGUCUGGUGGCAUCACAGGUGUGAUAAUUAUCUACGCUUGUGGUUUUACAUCAGGUAACCUUCAGAGAUGGGGGUUCACUGGGGCUUACAAAAGGUCUCUCCUCAGUGAGGACAGCUCUUUGAAUGUUUGAUCUCAAAUCAGGUAGGACUACCCGCUGAACUUAAGCAUAUCAUAAGCGGAGGA
rnacentral:misc_RNA from 1 species